rnacentral:lncRNA from 1 species
CUCUCUCAACAUGUAAACCUUCCAAGCCCUAAGCUUUCUUCAAAGCUUUCCUCCCUUCUCCCAUUGUAAGAUAUUCAUCUCCUUAUAUACUUAUGUUUUAUGUUAUACCUCCUAUGAUGGAUGGUUUUUAAAGCUAUGUAAAUUUUCAAGUUUUUUUUUAUGUUUCCAGUUUACCUCCUAUCAUGGAUGAUUUUAAUUUUAUGUAAUUAAAGUUUGUGGUUCCUUCUCUUUAAAUUUCUUAUUAUUUAUCUUGUGUAUUUUCUAACUCCUCUUAUUUGUUUUGAAUUUUGGAAUAAUUCAUAUUUUCAGUGCAUAUGACCUUGUCCUGUGUGUUAUAUAUAUAUAGGUGGAAUAGCAUAAAUUUUUGUGAUUUUUUUUCAUAAAGUAUAUAUUUUAACUUAUACUGAAAUAUAUAUUUUAUAUUUAAUAAAAAUUUUAUAAUGUCAAUAUUAUCUAUUAAUUAUGAUUUUGGGUUCGAAUUCAAAUUUUGAUCCACGAUGGAAAUAAAAUGUUAACUCUCAUUAAAAAGUUAGAAUUUGUUUGACAGUUAUUUUUAUAAAAUGUUUUUAGCCUUUUUAACAUUUGAAAAAUUUUAUCAUUGAAGUGUUAGAAAGACUAAAAAUAAUUUCUAGAAUUAUUAUAAAACACACUCUUAAUUAGAUGACAAAAAAUUUGGAUGAGGUGGCUUGGCCAGAAUUCUAAUGUUUUGGUAAUUCUAACAGAAGCCCAACCUUAUUUGAACCAACCCACCAAACCAGCCCAUGAGCUGUUUUGGUUUCUCAGUGAUGGGCCAACUUGUUCUAUUGCAGCCCAAUAGUAGGGUGUUUUCUAGCCAUUUAUUGUGUUUAAUUAAUUACAUAAGUGAUUUUGAAUAGAGAAAAAUAGGUGUUUCUUUUUAAAAUUAUUUUUUAUUAUGUAGGAAAUUAUAAAAAAACAAAAAUAAAAAUAAAAAUUGUUGUUUAUAUCCAAAUACUAACAUUUUGUACAAAAUGUUAUCACCAAAAACAAUUAAAACUAGAACUAUUUUUAUUAUGUAGAAAUAUAUUUUUUUUCUUCGAUAUUUUAAUUCUAACAUAAGUAAAAGUCAUUGGAAGCCCUUUCACAUACCAAGAACCAUAGACAAAAUAAAAAAUAAUAUUUCAUUAAUAGUAUGAAUUUGGUAGAAAUAUGUAAAAUUGUCCCCCUAAAAGGAUUAUUUUGGAAUAAAUGGGAAAUAGUUAGGAGAUGGUUUCGUAACAUCUAAGUUGAUAUGAAUUUUCAUUUGUAAAUAGGGUUAAUUAUUUUGAUAGAAACGUGGAAAAGAAAAAAAUUAGAUUGACUUGACAAAAUGAACAAGAGAGAAUUCUUAAAGCUUUAUCAAGGAAUGUUGUAAUCUAUACUUCAAUGAAAAGUGAUGAUGGAAGAAAUUUUCCUUGUGUUUCCUUUCAAGGAAGCCGUUGUGAUAGCAACCUCAUCAAAGGAUCCCUACCGGCCGGCUUCCACGCAUAGGGCAACGAAUUCCAAGCCCAAAAAUGUGAAUUGAAUCAAGGAGAGAAUAAAUAAGCCCCCUUCUUUCACGUUUCAGAGUCUAGACCCCAUUUGACAUGUUUUGGAAGAUUUGCAAUGGUUUAUUCCAUCUACACUAUUAUUAUGAUUUUACAUAUUCCAACAAAGAUACAUGCCCAUGUUUUUCCACUUCCACUUAUCUUUUCAAUAUGGUCAGAAUUUUCCAAAGACCACCUCCUUUUUCUUUUUUUAAAAUAAAAAUAUUUAUAUAUUACUUGCUUAUCCAUAAAAAUAAAAAUUAAAAAUUAAAAAAUAAAACAAAUAAGUAAAAGGGCUUGAGAAAACAAAUUAUUUUGCCUAUGCUACUUAAUAAUUUUAAGUGUGUAUAUUGAACUAAUAUCUUAAUAUGGUAUUAUAUAUUCGUCGAUCUAUUAUCUAAUAAUUUAAGUUUUUAAUUAAAAUUGGUAUCUUAACAAGGUAUAAGAGGUAUGAUCGAUGAUCGAUUACAAGUCUUUGAUACCGCACAUAUAUAUCUAAUAUCAAUGGUGAAAUUGCCUUGGUCAAGGCAAAGAAAAUGUAUCCAUGCAAAAACGAAAGAAGGGUCAAUCAUAUGUUGUUUCUCCCCACAUCACUUGGAGAUUCCUGGCAAAGACCAAGUAACUGCACAAGGGAAGACCAGUAAAUGAAAGGCGGGCCAGCCUGCCUCCAAACCUGUGUCCCACAUGGGAAAACAAAACAAAGGAUAUUUCCUUGGGCUGCAGGAGUAGAGAAACUUCCUUUGACAUUUUCUUAAGUGACCAUUUCUUGUCAUGUUGUUUCCAAGCCCUUUUGCUGCAGCCCGCAAGCACUUUCCCCACCUCCUUACAAAGGCUGACCACAAUAUUCUUGGUGGCUUCAAGCUGAGGCUAAUCUCAAUCCAGUAUAAAUAUACUCCCCUCCUCCAUCCUCCAUAUCAUAUUCAUAUUGCUCUGAGUGCCUUUUGUGGAUAUUGUGAAGUACCUCAAUUAGAAGAAUUCAGUACAUAAUGGGGGAGAGAUCAUCACCAGAAAUGAUCCAACCAUUUUUUUCAUCAUCUAUAUUGGAUGAUAUAUUAAGAUUUGAAGUAAUCUGCUUGUGGGUCACAAUAAUUCAGGGGUUUUUCUCAAGGUCUAUGUCCUUCUUCCAGUCCCAAUUCAGCUUCUUCUGCAACACAGAGCUUUGGGCUGAGAGGAAGAGCCAGGACUUUGAGGUGCCCAGCAGGCCACUUAGCCAGAAUGUAAAGGUGGAUGAUAGAAGCUUAUGCAGAGAAGAUAUGGAGACAGUGAUGGAAAGGCUGGGGAUUUGUUGCAACCCGGAGGGGGAAAAGCUUCAGGAGAGACUGCGUCCUGAGGAGCUAGCAGGGUUGUUUGAGGAGAAGGAGCCUAGCUUGGAGGAGUUGAAGGAAGCCUUCCUUGUGUUUGAUGCGAACAGGGAUGGGUUUAUUGAUGCAAAGGAGUUGCAGAGAGUUCUUCUCAAUUUGGGCUUCAGACAAGGAACUGGGAUUGAAGAUUGCAAGAAGAUGAUCAGCUCUCAUGAUGAAAAUAGAGAUGGAAGGAUUGAUUUCAAUGAAUUUGUAAAAUUCACAGAGAAUUGCCUCAUCUGAACUAACAAAUUCAUCCUUUAACUUUUCUUUUUUCUUUUUUUUAUUUAUAAUAUUUGUUCAACAAAAUUCUUAUUAUCAUAUGGAGAAUAAUAAACUUUACAUGUUUAGUUUCGGUUUUGAAUUAUUAUGCUAUCAAUUUGACCUAUCCUUGGUCCCUAAACCCUAGAUUACUUCUAGUUCAUUACAAGGCAAGGGUUUUCCAAUUCCAACCCAUUUAUGGCUUUUAUCAAAGGCCAAGAAAUUUGUGCUCCAACUUACUGGAAAGAAUAAUUUUGAGAAGCCAAUUAAUGGCUUCACCUUGAGGUCACCUAAACACUCACCUUCCCCCCUUGAUGAACCCCUCAGGAAGAAGGGUUAAGCCCAAAUUCUUUUCUGUUUUGGGUUCAAAAGGAGUGAUGGUUUUGGGUUUUGAUUUUGGCCCAACUCAAAAACCCACAUGCUAAGGAAUGCCAAUAAAAAGUUCCUAUCAAAAAAAUGAAAGCCAGUCAAAAAGCAUCUUCUUAGAAUAUUCAAAUAAUGCUUUCAUAUAGGAGGUAAAGCUGACCCAAUCUCAAGUAAUGAAUGUUAAUCAAAAGACAUUUUUCUUAUUCUUAAUUUGAGUCCACUUCAGUAGGUGGAUGUCAACUUGGAACAAAAGGUGAUACACCCUCUGAAACCUGUCCAAGUGUUGCAUGGAUUUUAGAGGAGAUCCUGGUGUAUGGGACCAUGUCAACCCACCCACUUCACAAAGGGUACUCCUUUUUAUUUUAUUUUUUCUGACAAAAGCAUUCAAAUAGUCUGGCCCAACACCCAUGUGAUGGGCAUGAGUUGGGAGGACAAUAUGGUGGCGAGAGCCCCUUUGGAAGAGGCUGAAGAUAUGCCACCAUCAUUAAUGCAUGGGAGAAAGUUGGUGCUCACAAGUAAAACCUCUGCCUGAAUCUUGCAGGCCCAUGAGAAGGGGAUGUUCAAAAGGUUCCCCUCCACACAGAGAUAAGACUUUAGAGCAUUGCCCAAAUCAAUAUUAUAAAGAAUACUUUGUUUUGGGUACUUCUUGAACCUAGACUAAUCUAUAUAAUAAAACAAAGGAAGAAUGAGGAACAUGAAGAAGUGAUGAUGAAGAUAAAGUUUAUUGUUUCAGCUUUGGAAAUGGUUUCUUGUGGGAAUGGGUACAAGGAAACAGAUGAUGAUUUUCUUUUUCUUUUUUUUUUCUUUUUUUUUUUCUUUUGGGGGGAGUGUCACCUGUCUGAACUACGUCUUCUAAAUCUUUUUUUUUACUAGCUUUUGGAAACUCUUUUCCUUCAUGUGGCUCCUACUCCAAGGAAGUCUAUAAAUGGUGGUGAUAUGGUGGCCUCAAAAUGGGUGUUUGCCAUGUUCUCUGCAGCUGAUGUUGAUGAUGAUGGUUCACUGACUGAGACUUGUGAUGUUGAUGCAACAGAGUCUGAGAAACAACAAAGAUACACUAUCAAUGGCCCAUUCACAAAGAUUUAAAAAAAAAAAUUUCCAAAAAAAAUGCUAGAAAUCCACAAAAAUUUAGAACAAAAAAGAGAGAUUUAAGAACGGUUCCUCUGUCUGUUGUUGACACUUAGAAAGACAAAGCAAGGGAAAUAUUGAAAAAGCUAGUAUUUUACAGGGAGAGUAAUUUAAGUGUGUUAAAAACCAAAAAGCCAUACAAAAAGCUAAUCUUUGCAGCGGAGCAUGAUUGAAAAUCCAAGAAGGAAAUGGGCAAGCAUGGACACCAGGAAAGAUAAAAGGAUGUUGGUGGGAUUUAAAAUAAGAAGCCAAUGAGAAAAAGCACAGAAACCCAAAUGCACAAACAGCAUAUAUAUAGCAUAAGAGAAUGUAGGCAAUGGAGGGAUCAAAAGGACAAACCAGAAAGGAAAUGAAAAGGUGUCUGGCUUGGACAAGGUCCAGUGUGGUGAGGAGGCAACAUAGUGUUGCUGCUUGAAGAAGCACCCACCAACCAAUCACCACCACCACUUGACACUGCUUCUUCACUACUGGUCAUGUGGGAGCCAUUGAUAAUAGACCCACCACCACCCAUAUGAGCUGCAAAUGGGAAGUGGUGAGAAGAUUUGAUGAAGUUGUUGCCAUUGCAGACAUUGAGAGAGUUGUGUUCAGUUCUAAUGGAUGUAUCUCUGCACACAUAGCUCCCACCACCCACCUCCAACUUUUUGUGAGCAGCUUGAUUCAUCUUUCUCCUCCUAUAAGCACUAGACUGCUCUCUGUAUUUCCUUGCCAUUAUAACAUGCCAGUGAUUUUUUACUGCAUUAUCAGUCCUUCCUGGGAAGAGUCUAGCAAUCAUGGCCCAUUUGUUACCAUACCAUCUAUGAGCUGCCAUUAGCCUCUCUUCUUCUUCCUCAGUGAAAGCUCUUCUAUUGAUUCUUGGGUCCAACUGGUUAAACCAUCUUAAUCUGCAGCUCUUACCUUCAAUCAAACAAAAGGUUAUAACUUUACAAAAGAAAUAUAUAUGGGUAAAACUAGUUAGUUGUAUUCAAAAGAAGAAGCUUUGGGGGUUUGCUUCAACUGAACCUACCUGAUCUUCCUUCCAACUUCUCUGCUAUAAGGUUCCAGUUCUGUGGGCCAUAAAGAGCAACAAGUUCUCUGAGUUUAGAGUCUUCUGCAGGCCUCCAAUGCCCUCUGGCACAUAGCUUUGACUGGCCACCAUCUAAUCCAGAGCUCUCAUUUGGUCUCUCUUCAUUUAAGUUGAUGCCCUUGUUGAUGAUUUCCAUGGCAACGCCACUGUUUUCCCCAAACCCAUCACUGGUUUCAGACCCCUUGCCAUCUCCACCACCACCCUCACUGUUCUGGGUGUCAUCCAAACUACUGCUGCAGUUCCCCAUUAAUGGAAAACCCAUGUGCAGCCCCCUCUGAUCAGAACUCUUACAACAGUAAGCUCCGUAGCUUGGGCUAAUGGAGAGAGAACCCAUGUCCUCAAACACUCCCAUUGAUGAAGAGGGAGAGAAAGGCUUGUAAAUAUGACAUUGUUUAGCCAUGCCAUCGUUUUCUUGGUGACAGAAGGUGCUGUCUAACUGUUGCAAUGUCACAUUCAUGACUGGAAAAAAGAAAAAAUAAAACAAAAUAAAAGAAAGUGGAAGAGAAACCAAGAAAGAGAGAAAAGAGAGGGCUUAAGGGAAAGGAGAAGAGUCGCAGAGUGAAGUGAAAAAACCUUAGAAGCAGCUAGCACUAGUGUUGGUUUUUUAACAGAAACCCACACGACUACGCUUCCUUCUCCUCUUUUCUCUUCUCUGCCCUUCACUUCUUCACCACCCUGACUGGCCCUGACCUCUAUUUUGACUCCAUCUGAGGGCUGCAACAUCAGAACCACCUCAAAGUACGUGAUCCCCACACCCAUUACACCCACAAGAAAGUGUGGCUCACACACCUGAAAAGCAAGUGGCACCUCCAUUUCUUGUGAAAGAUUCUCUUUCUCCACUCCCACGUGUGGUGUCAUCUCAUGUCACGUGUGAAAGGCUGAGGGAAGAGGCUGAUAGAGCCACCACCACAACCUCCACUCUUACUCACGCCCCCUUCUGAUCAGCUCUGAGUCUCAGGGCUGUCCCUCUCUGGGUUGGCAAAAGAAGGGUACUGUGAGAGGCUGCAAAGGUUGGGGACUGCAAAAGGCUUAUAUACACCAAUUGAGAGUGAAUGGCAGGAAAUAAAAGAGCAUGACAAAACACCUUCUGUCACUCAAACCCACCUCAACAAUAAUAAAUAACAUGUAGCUUUCAGUCUCCAUCAGCCCAUCUCUCCUUUAGGUUUGGGUCAGAACAGAGGGCUAGAGCUACCCUAAACCUGGGGCUAAUCAGUUAACCACCUGAAGGGGACCCUACAUCAAAUGCCCCAUAAGGGCCGUAACCAAACUAGCAAGGCAGCAACUGCCCCUACAUUAUGCAUUUUUUCAUGUUCUUCCUACAGGGUCAUUGAGCCUUGCCCUUAAAAGGUACUCCAAAGUCCAAACUUCUGCAUUCAAGUCAUGCUCAGUUUAAAGUUUAAACCACCAACCCAUCUUCAUAGAUUUCAUUUUUCUGAUUUUUGGACUACCCCACAUGGUUGUUCUGCAGGAUAAUAAAUUUCACUUUUGUCUUGUUUGUUUUAGUGUGAGUAUCUCACUCAUACUGUUCACAAAGUGAGAGAUAUUGCUCCCCCUUGUUGGGUUUCUUAAAGCAAUGUGAGAAGAUUCAAGCUUUUUAUCUGAGAUAAGAUAUAACUUACUGCUUCUCAGAAAAUCAGAAAAUCAGAAAAAGAGAAGUUUUCAAGUCUGUUUAAGUGUCCAUUUUGCACAAGAUUUUAUUAAAGGGAUGUAAGAAGAUAUGCAUUUAAGAAGUAAUCUUGGAAAACCUCUCCAUGGGGUGCAUCACUUUCCAUUUCCUCCUGUAUUUCCCUUUCUGUAACACAAGUCCUAUGUUUCCUUUCUUGUACAUUUCCACUGUUAUUUUCCAGCAAGACCAUUUCCAAGGUAAAAGAAAACAUGGUUGGUAACUGCUAAUUAAAGCUCCACAGAGCUCAAAAUAGUAAACCAACUCCUCAACAACAGUAAAAGGAUUGGCACAUCUCAGAUUCGCAGGAAUGUUUUUUAGCUUCCACUCACAUUUCCUAAAAAAUUUCACCCCUCGGUGAGAAAAAAAGAAUAGUAAUAAUAUACUGAAGUUCUCAUUCUCAGUUUUACCUCCUCUGACCAAAAGAAUACCAUUGCUCUCUACCUAAUAAAUAAUUUGAUUACUUGGAAUUUAAUUCUCAUAUCUUAUAACUAAAGUCUCGUUUCUUUGUAUCUUUGUAUCCAAAAAUCAAUUAGUAUUCAACAAUCUCUCUCCUAAUAUGAUAUUUAUAUAACUUAAACCUGGCAUCCUUUUAACUCUUAUACUAAUAUUAGGAUCAAACUUUGAAAAUCAAUUAAUGUUCAAUGAGAGUAGGUCAAACUUUUAUGACAUUCAAUAUCACAUUCCGCAUGUUUCUUUUAAGAGCCAUUAUUUAGACAAUCUAUUUUCAAACUUAAGAUCAGACACCCAACACUUAAUAAUUUGUUGGAAGCUCUAAUCACAUAAAGAGGAUUUAGAUGCAAAAUGGGAUACAAAGCUAAAUAAAAACUAUGAGAACUUUCCUCAGGAGCUAAUUUGUUGAAAGCUCUAAUCACAUAAAGGAGGAUUUAGAUGCAAAAUGGGACACGGUACUAAAUAAAAACUAUGAGAACUUUCCUCAGCAGCUCCCACACUAUUAGAGUUUGAUUGGAUUAUUGCUGUAAUUCUCCUUUUCAUUUAAAAUCUUAUUGGUUUCAUGAUCAUGUCCCAAAUUCUAGUCAGCUUUUAUUUAUUAGAAAGUAAAUGAUAGAAAAUAUAGAAGUGGAAGUAGGUGUGUUUUUCCACCUCAACUUCUUUUAAAUGGAACACAUCAAAUCCUCCAUCCUUAUCAAAUGUCCCCAUUCUCAGUCCACAAGCAUUAUUAAUUUUAACAAUAGAAAGUUACAGUGUCCUCACCAAAACUGUCAAAGCAACAUGUGAUUUUGUUUUCUUUAAAUGGGGUCACAAAAAGCAUUUAAGUAUUCGAAGUCACAAAGCUUGUAUCUUUGCACUGUUACUUGUACAUUACACUAGACCAGGUCAAGGACACCACACAGCUAUCAACAGUACAGAACUGCAGAGUCACAGCUCCCCCCCUAGCAGAUCAGAGAGAGGGGGGGGGGGGGGGGGGGAAAAGGAAAAAAAAAAAAGGGGAAAAAAAAAAAAAACCAUGGGUUUGGAAAGGGGUUUCCGGUUUUUAAAAAAAAAAUUUUUUUAAAAAAGAAAGAAAAAAGGGGCCAAAAAUGAAAUAAAAAAAAAAAAAAUUUCUAACAAAGGGAAAAAUAAAAGGGGGGGGUAAAAAAAAAAAGAAAAAAAAAAAAAAAAUGUUUUAAAAAAAUUUUUUUUUUUUUAAAAAAAAAAUAUUAAAAAUUUAAGGGGAUAAAAAAGGGGGGUUUUUGCCCCCCUUUUCCUUUUCCUUUAAAAAAAAAAAAUAAAAAAAAGGGAGGAAAAGGAAAAUGUGGGAAAAAAAAUGAAAUUCCCCAAUGGGAAAAAAAAAUCUAAGCAAAAAAAUAAAGGGAAAAAUUNNNNNNNNNNNNNNNNNNNNNNNNNNNNNNNNNNNNNNNNNNNNNNNNNNNNNNNNNNNNNNNNNNNNNNNNNNNNNNNNNNNNNNNNNNNNNNNNNNNNUUUUUUUAAAAGGAACCAAACAAAUCCCCCAUUCUUUAUAAAAGUCCCCCUUUUCCGUCCCCAAACCUUUUUAAUUUUUAAAAAAGAAAGUUACAGGGUCCCCCCCAAAAAUUUAAAAACAAAAAGGUAUUUUUUUUUUUUUAAAAGGGGGCCAAAAAAACCUUUAAGUUUUUGAAGUUCAAAAGGUUUUUUUUUUGCCAUUUUUCUUUUUCCUUUCCCUUGGCCCGGUUAAGGGCCCCCCCCCGCUUUUCACCGGAAAAAACCGGAAGGUCCCCGCCCCCCCCCUUGCCAAUUAAAAGGGGGGGGGGGGGGGGGGGGAGGAGAGGGAGAGAGAAAAUGGGGUAAAUGAGAAUAAAUCGAUGGAUUGCAAAUGGGUUUCCUGAUUUAUAAUAAAAAACUUAUCUAGAAAAGGAAUGAAACAAGGGUCAUAGACUGAUAUGAUAGACUACAACAUUCAUACAUAGGUGAUAAUUAAAGUGAGGGUAUAAAAAAAAAAGGAAAAAGAAGAAGAAAGUGUAUGAGAGACUUGAUUGUUCUUUAAAAACAGUACUAUCAAACAUUAAUGGGAUUAGAAAGGUGGGUUUUGUGCCACCUUUGUCCUUUCCAUGUACAGUACAGAUGUAGACAAAGGGGAGGAAAGGGAAAGUGUGGUAAAAGUAGUGAAUUCCCAUACUGGAUAAAAGAAUCUGAAGCAAGUAACUAAUGGUAGAAUUCUAAUGGCAUUUCCAUCCAAAAUGUCCAUUCAUUCAGCUGCUACCACAAGUUAAUUGAAGCACCCAUCUCAUAAAUUUUUUGGUACUUUAUCAUAGUUUGAGUCCAUUGCUGUUCACUUCUCUUAAAUGGACUCAGUUUUUAUGAGGCAAUUGAAACUUUGCAAUUUGAUGGGAGGGAACACACCCAUGAAGGGGGGUUAAUCCCCUGGUUAUAUGAGUCCAUCUCUCUAUCCUACACAACUUCAAUACAAGAACCGGUCAAAUCAGAAGUUUGAUUUAUUAUCAAAGGGCACCAUGUAAUAUUUGCUUAUUUGUUUCUAAAUUUUUUAUACCAUAUUUGUGUCCAAUAAUUUGUUGGGGCUUAUAGUUUUCAUCCUUUCAGUCAAGUGCUUAUUCUCUCUUUGUAAUUCAUUUUUGGUGCAUAAAAGUUGUUCAUAAGUUCGAAAAAUGGGUUAUUCAAAUAAUGAUUCUUAAAACAUAAUCGAAAAAUAUACUAUCUUAUAAAAAGUUUAAUCUAUUCUUAUUGGAUAUCAAUUAGUUUGUAGAUAAAACGGUUAAAGCCGAGUCCAAUAAUUAAGCCAAGAAUGAUAGUCUUGGGCCAUGAGAGCGUAAAAAAAAAAAAAUGAUUGUUAGAGGUGCAACAAUGCCGAUAUUUUGAAGAAUUCUACUUCAAUUACUUUCUUGUCAUUGUUCAGCCCCCCAAAAAAAUGCGACAAUAAGGCAAAAUGAACUCAUCUCAUUCCGGAGCCUCUAUGGGCAAUGCUUUCUAGUCCUACUUUCACCUUUUUUUCUUUUUCUUUUUGGUGUGGUCAGCCUUGAAUGAGGCCCACAAUAUCAGAGUAACCCAGCCCAUAGGUUGCCCAGCAUAAACUUCAAAGACCAACCCAUUAAACCUUGACUGGACUGGACUGGACUGGACUGGGCUGGCCUGGCCUGGGCCUCCCAUGUCUGUAAAAAAAAAAUGGAUCUUAUCCUUCUAAAUAUACAACUGUUUUAUCUUUUUAAUUAAAUUUUCCCUUCAAAAUGGAUCCGACUCAUCCUCAUAUGAGAAAAUUGUUAAGACCCCUAAUCACCCAACAGACUAAAUUUUUUAGUUUAAUUAAUAGUUUAAUAUGAUAUCAAAGUUUGACGACACAAGAAACAUCGAGUCUUACCUAAAAUAAUUCCUAAAUCACCCUUUUACAAGAAAAAGGAUAUAUGUUUAGAAAAUUGCCACAUUCCAAGACCCUACAUUUAGAAAACCUGACAUCAAUCAAGGAGAUAAGGAGAUGAACCAGGGCAGGUUUAUGUAGACUUUAUCCAACUUCUAGAUAAACCUUUAGGCCCUUGAGGAUUUUCAACAUUAUGGUGGCCAUUGUUCAGACGCAAGCUCUAAUGCGAACCAUGAUUUCCUCUGCCAACCAUGGUGUCUCUUUGUUGAUUUUUUUUUAUAUCGAAAUAUAUAUAUAUAUAUAUAUAUAUAUAUAUAUAUAUAUAUAUUGUAAAUAGACUAUUUUUUAAAAUAUUUUUGAGUUAGUUUUAGUUUUUUAUAGAUUUAUAACAACUGAAAAAUAUUUUGAAAGUGUUUGUAAUUCGCACAAAUGCUAUUCUUAGUAUUUUAGUUCUCAAAACAAAAAAAUAAUUAAGAACUAUUCUUAAAAAUUAUUUUUUAGGAAUAAAUUUUUAAAAUGUCGGGGAACAACCCUUAUAUUGCGAAAAGUCCCAAUUGUUUUGAAGAAGUAGGAUAAAUAAUCUUAAAUAUUUGUAGGUGUAGAGGACAAAUAUAGGUUGAAUGAGCAGUUGGGCACCAACCCACAAUUCUCUAUAAGCCAUCAUUGCUUGACUGUAAUUGUAACCUAACUAACAAAUGGUCCAAUAAAAUGACCUCAUGCUAUGGUCAAUCAGAUAACAAUGCAACCCGUGAAGGAUCACAAUUCUUUUUCUCCACACUUUCUCUACAUUGCACCCAGUCAAAUUCUAGGCAACCAAACAGAAAAGGCACCCAUGAUCAGCGGAGAAACUCACUGCUGAAUUGGUGAAAGAAAAUCCCCAGUUGAAGCCAGCAGGCGCAUGGACUCGGUGACAUUGCAACAACCAUGCAACAAUUUGGAGUGUUCACAGCUUGGCCUAGAUGCUGAUGCUGCUACUAGGCUGCUGUCUCUGAUUUGAAAGAAUUUAGUGAUUAUGCAUUAGACAAACGUCAUAAUAGCACUAAUUAAUCAAAUCAGCAAUAAGGUUAUCUGAUUAACAUGGUUGAAUCAUUAAGGCCUAGUAAAAAUGCUGGCUACUAUGAGGGAGAUUGGUCGCCGACAAGGUGAAAACAUGGAUAUAGAGAGCUUGGAGUAUCUGCAGACAUGGAGAGACGAGAGAGGGCGAAGGCGAAGCGUUGAGACGUCUUUUUCACACGCCAUUAAUGUAGUCGCGGCUUUUUAUAUGCCACUUGGUCGGUCUCAUUUACAGAUGAGGGUCACCAGCUGAUGUAAAGUCCAAUUUGAAAGGACAAGCGCAUGCCUAUAAAAUGUGUUUGAAUGGUUAGUUUACCUCUAAACUGUGAAUUCUAAAUUGAUCUGUAGGAAAAAGAAUCAAAAGAUCAGGCACUGUCCAUCUAUGAAUUUCUUGUGUCUGCUUUUCCUUCUGUGAUGGUUUAAAUCUCAAAAGAAAAUCACGGUAAAUUUGAGAGAGUGCUGUUUUGAGAUCUCAAUCAUAAAUGGCAACGUUGGUUUUUCAUGAGAGGGCUGCAGAUCCAACAACUUCCGAGAGGAUUCAACAAAGAAAUUAAUGAAACUUCCCCCCAGAGAAGUUGCAUAGCAGAUAGAUGAACCCAAACAUUUAUGUUUAUGUUUCUCUUUCCUACUUGUUCCUACCUCAUACUUUGUCGGUGUAUCCACCUUCAAAAUUCUAUGAGACGUUAUUUGUCAAAACACAACACAUAAAUACUCCUGAUGAGUAGGUAGGGUUAUAGCAAGUUGAGAAGAUAGAUAAAUCUUUGAAAUAUCAUUAACCAAAUUGAAGAUUUUCACUUUCACAUUCUCAUAAUGGCUCAAGUACAACAAAGUCAUAUGCAUUACAAUGACCUCACAUAGACUAAGCAAAAACACUCUUUACUAGAGCAUUUAGUAGGGAACAUUUACUGAUAAUAAAAUUAACGUCUACCUCCUCAGCAGUGGCAGGGGCUUUCAGCACAAAGCCAGCCAUGAACUGCAAAAAGCCACAAGCAAAUUACAAUGGAAAAAAGGGCCAUUCAAAAUUGACCCUUUUCAUUUUUUACAUAUAUGAAGCUAUUUUACUAUACAUUUGCUUUAUCCAACCUUAGUCUUUAUGCCAUACCCUUAGCUUAGGCAUAUAAAUAUCAGCAUAUAUAUAUAUAUAUAUAUAUAUAGCAAUCUUUAUAUUUAUUUAUAUGGUGAAAAACCUGCUAAAAGUUUUUAACUUAGUUUGAUUUUCUAGCGGAAUUGGCCUCCAGUGUAGGUCUGGCCAAAGGACCAGCCUGCAGGGGCAACAUUGUAGGAGACUAUGGCGCGGCCAUCGCUGGUGACUACUCUGAAGGAGAGGCUUUGGCCAUUGAGGUAGGAGUUGCUUUGCCAGUUUUGGCCCCAGUUCCUUGACAUAGGCUGCCAGGCAGUUCUUGAACCCUUGAUGGAAACAGCAUGGACAUCGCCGGCGCCCCCCACGUUGGUGACGAGGACAAGAUUGAAGUAGGAAUGGCCAUUGACGGUGAACCUGAUGCCUCCUGAUUUUCUGCAGGAAACCCUACAAAACCCAUGAAGGAAGAAGCAUUGUGAGCUCGCCAGUAAAGAGAAAUCAGUACAAGAAAUGCUGGAACGGUGAAUUGGGGGCAAAUGGCAAUUGGCAUACCUUCUGUAAGCGACAGGGACAAUCCCAGCUCUGUACUGAGCAAUGUGUUGGAAGACAGGCUGAGAGAGAUCAAAGUGUUGCUGGGGAGGAUCACACCAGCCUCCUGGUGGGCAGAAGUUAGUGGCAGUGACGACAAUGGUGCCAGGGAGGCACCACUGGGGAUCAUUCACACACCUAAGCUCAAAACAGGCGCCACAGCUGAGGCCAUUGUUGAAAAGAGCUGUGCUCAAUGCUGCAGUGUUGGUCCCAUACCCCUGGCUGUACAGGUUUCCAUAUCCACAAGCUCCACCUACAUAAGACAAUUGCCAAAUACCAAUAUUGAAGUGACAAAGGGAGCAGAUAUUUAUCCUUAUGUAUGAAAGUCACACCAAAUUUAUUGAUUAACUCAGUUGUGUAAACUGUAACCCACCCAUUGUCCCAGAAGCAUCACCACCUCCAUAGAAGGUGGCAUGAGCAUUAAUCCAACCACCAUAAUACCCAUUCACAGCUGAGACCAUUGAGAGAAUGCCCACCAACAGAAACCCGAGAAGAGCCAUUUUCCUGCAAAAAGGAAAUCAGAUAAUGAGCAUUUUCUUGACAUGCUACUGAAGUUGACCAUUCUUUGAAGUGGGCGAAGAUAAGAGUGGAAAGACAAGAAAAGGGAAAGAGAAGACUAAUGGAG